ACAGAGCAAUCUGUGUGACUGCGUACCUUUUGUAUAAUGGGUCAGCGACUUAUAUUCUGUAGCAAGGUUAACCGAAUAGGGGAGCCGAAGGGAAACCGAGUCUUAACUGGGCGUUAAGUUGCAGGGUAUAGACCCGAAACCCGGUGAUCUAGCCAUUGGCAGGUUGAAGGUUGGGUAACACUAACUGGAGGACCGAACCGACUAAUGUUGAAAAAUUAGCGGAUGACUUGUGGCUGGGGGUGAAAGGCCAAUCAAACCGGGAGAUAGCUGGUUCUCCCCGAAAGCUAUUUAGGUAGCGCCUCGUGAAUUCAUCUCCGGGGGUAGAGCACUGUUUCGGCAAGGGGGUCAUCCCGACUUACCAACCCGAUGCAAACUGCGAAUACCGGAGAAUGUUAUCACGGGAGACACACGGCGGGUGCUAACGUCCGUCGUGAAGAGGGAAACAACCCAGACCGCCAGCUAAGGUCCCAAAGUCAUGGUUAAGUGGGAAACGAUGUGGGAAGGCCCAGACAGCCAGGAUGUUGGCUUAGAAGCAGCCAUCAUUUAAAGAAAGCGUAAUAGCUCACUGGUCGAGUCGGCCUGCGCGGAAGAUGUAACGGGGCUAAACCAUGCACCGAAGCUGCGGCAGCGACACUGUGUGUUGUUGGGUAGGGGAGCGU
rnacentral:rRNA from 1 species